rnacentral:rRNA from 1 species
CAGCACCGCGGUAAUACGAAGGGUGCAAGCGUUACUCGGAAUUACUGGGCGUAAAGCGUGCGUAGGUGGUGGUUUAAGUCCGUUGUGAAAGCCCUGGGCUCAACCUGGGAAUUGCAGUGGAUACUGGGUCACUAGAGUGUGGUAGAGGAUAGUGGAAUUUCCGGUGUAGCAGUGAAAUGCGUAGAGAUCGGAAGGAACAUCUGUGGCGAAGGCGACUAUCUGGGCCAACACUGACACUGAGGCACGAAAGCGUGGGGAGCGAACAGGAUUAGAUACCCCCGUAGUCCCUGUCUCUUAUACA